rnacentral:rRNA from 1 species
AUUGAACGCUGGCGGCAGGCUUAACACAUGCAAGUCGAGCGGGGGAGGUUGCUUCGGUAACUGACCUAGCGGCGGACGGGUGAGUAAUGCUUAGGAAUCUGCCUAUUAGUGGGGGACAACAUUCCGAAAGGGAUGCUAAUACCGCAUACGCCCUACGGGGGAAAGCAGGGGAUCUUCGGACCUUGCGCUAAUAGCUGAGCCUAAGUCGGAUUAGCUAGUUGGUGGGGUACAGGCCUACCACGGCGACGAUCUGUAGCGGGUCUGAGAGGAUGACCCGCCAAACUGGGACUGAGACACGGCCCAGACGCCUACGGGAGGCAGAAGUGGGGAAUAUUGUACAAUGGGCUGAAGCCUGAUCCAGCCAUGCCGCGUGUGUGAAGAAGGCCUUUUGGUUGUAAAGCACUUUAAGCGAGGAGGAGGCUACUAGUACUAAUACUACUGGAUAGUGGACGUUACUCGCAGAAUAAGCACCGGCUAACUCUGUGCCAGCAGCCGCGGUAACAC